GGUUCACUGCAUGACCAGCAUCAGUCCAUCAAGAGACCAAAUGUUUUAGUGUUGUGUUUCCAAACCAAACGGCAAACAAAGCAAACCCUAAACCCCUAAUCACUUGCACAUUCAGAGAUUGAUAAUUUUCAACAUACCUCCACGUGAAGAGGAGUUCCAGACUAAAGGAUUGGAGGGUGCACCAAGAAAUGAUAUAGGUUGGCACUUUGGAACUCCAUUGCCAAAUACGAAAGGAAAUAUCGUAUGUAAACUUUGUAGCAAAGUUGUGAAAGGAGGAAUAACGCGAUUUAAAGAGCACAUUGCUCAUAAAACUAACAAUGUUGCACCAUGCCCUAAUGUUACUGGUGUCAUUAGAGAAAGUAUGAUGAAUAUACUGAAAGAAAGCAAGACAAAGAAAAUAGACAAAAAAAGGAGAAAAGAUGAAUUUUUAUCUCAAUUAAGAGAAGAUAAUGAUGAGCAUGAGGAAUUCAUUGAUGAGGUUUCUGCUAUAUGGCAAGCAACUCGAGAAAGUAUCCAAUCACAACACGAGUGGCAUAGAAGGGAAGAAUUCAGAUGAAGUACUGGUGGUUGGAAUAACAUUUAUGAAGAAGGGCGAUCUUCUCAUGGAUCAGCUAGAGAAUAUCAUAGAGAAAGAACAAGUAAAUCCAUCCCAAGUGAGUCUGAGUCUACCUUAAGGGGAGCUAUACCUAAAUUGGUUAGAAGCAAAAGUUCAAAGCAAGCAAAGGUCAAUGACUCUUUUUUAAAGAGUUUUCGAAGGAAGAUAGGUGAAGCGGUAUCUAAAUUUUUAAUAUAUGAAAGACUUCCUUUCAAUUAGCAAGCUCUCCAUGGUUGUAUAACUUAAUUCAAGUGUCAAUAGAAGUUGGACAAUGUGUAAAGCUCCCAACACCUUAUGAGGUUUCAGAUGUGUAUUUGGAGUCAGAGUAUCAACGAGUUCGUGAUUAGGUAAAUUGACUAAAGACUCAUUGGAAAGAAUUGGGUGCAACUCUAAUGUGUGAUGUUGGACCAAUAAUUUGAAUCAAAUGCACAUCAUUAAUUUCCUUGUUUAUUGUAGUAAAUGAACCAUUUUUUAGAAA